CCCAAUGCAUGGAGCAUGCUCUGAUAGCUGUAAAUCCUUGGACACGCUACUCUGCAGGAUGGGACGCCAAGCUCUUCUUUAUUCCAAUCUCAUACCUGCCCACCUUCCUAUCCGACUAUCUACUAACACACUCUGUUCCAAAGCCAGCUAAGAACACAUCUCAUUAACUUAAGCAAUUGUAACAUGUAAUUAUGCAUUCCAGAACAGGUUUUCUAGAUUGCACUUCACAUCCU